GUAGGGAAUCUUCCACAAUGGACGCAAGUCUGAUGGAGCAACGCCGCGUGAGUGAAGAAGGUUUUCGGAUCGUAAAGCUCUGUUGUUGGUGAAGAAGGAUAGAGGCAGUAACUGGUCUUUAUUUGACGGUAAUCAACCAGAAAGUCACGGCUAACUACGUGCCAGCAGCCGCGGUAAUACGUAGGUGGCAAGCGUUGUCCGGAUUUAUUGGGCGUAAAGCGAGCGCAGGCGGAAUGAUAAGUCUGAUGUGAAAGCCCACGGCUCAACCGUGGAACUGCAUCGGAAACUGUCAUUCUUGAGUGCAGAAGAGGAGAGUGGAACUCCAUGUGUAGCGGUGGAAUGCGUAGAUAUAUGGAAGAACACCAGUGGCGAAGGCGGCUCUCUGGUCUGCAACUGACGCUGAGGCUCGAAAGCAUGGGUAGCGAACAGGAUUAGAAACCCGUGUAGUCC
rnacentral:rRNA from 1 species